rnacentral:rRNA from 2 species
GAUCCAGACUUUGAUUAUGGCUCAGGAUGAACGCUAGCUACAGGCUUAACACAUGCAAGUCGAGGGGAAACGACAUCGAAAGCUUGCUUUUGAUGGGCGUCGACCGGCGCACGGGUGAGUAACGCGUAUCCAACCUGCCCACCACUUGGGGAUAACCUUGCGAAAGUAAGACUAAUACCCAAUGAUAUCUCUAGAAGACAUCUGAAAGAGAUUAAAGAUUUAUCGGUGAUGGAUGGGGAUGCGUCUGAUUAGCUUGUUGGCGGGGUAACGGCCCACCAAGGCGACGAUCAGUAGGGGUUCUGAGAGGAAGGUCCCCCACAUUGGAACUGAGACACGGUCCAAACUCCUACGGGAGGCAGCAGUGAGGAAUAUUGGUCAAUGGACGAGAGUCUGAACCAGCCAAGUAGCGUGCAGGAAGACGGCCCUAUGGGUUGUAAACUGCUUUUAUAAGGGAAUAAAGUGAGUCUCGUGAGACUUUUUGCAUGUACCUUAUGAAUAAGGACCGGCUAAUUCCGUGCCAGCAGCCGCGGUAAUACGGAAGGUCCGGGCGUUAUCCGGAUUUAUUGGGUUUAAAGGGAGCGUAGGCCGGAGAUUAAGCGUGUUGUGAAAUGUAGACGCUCAACGUCUGCACUGCAGCGCGAACUGGUUUCCUUGAGUACGCACAAAGUGGGCGGAAUUCGUGGUGUAGCGGUGAAAUGCUUAGAUAUCACGAAGAACUCCGAUUGCGAAGGCAGCUCACUGGAGCGCAACUGACGCUGAAGCUCGAAAGUGCGGGUAUCGAACAGGAUUAGAUACCCUGGUAGUCCGCACGGUAAACGAUGGAUGCCCGCUGUUGGUCUGCACAGGUCAGCGGCCAAGCGAAAGCAUUAAGCAUCCCACCUGGGGAGUACGCCGGCAACGGUGCAACUC